AGGUAGCGAAAUUCCUUGUCAGGUAAGUUCUGACCCGCACGAAAGGCGUAACGAUUUGGGCGCUGUCUCGGCAGCAGACUCGGUGAAAUCUUAGUACCUGUGAAAAUGCAGGUUACCCGCAACUAGACGGAAAGACCCCAUGGAGCUUUACUGCAGUUUGAUAUUGAACUUUGGUCAGUCAUGUACAGGAUAGGUGGGAGACGAGGAGACAUGCACGUCAGUGUAUGAGGAGUCGCUGUUGGGAUACCACCCUUGGUUGAUCGAAGCUCUAACCUGGUACCUGAGACAGGUAUGGGGACCGUGUCAGAUAGGCAGUUUGACUGGGGCGGUCGCCUCCCAAAGAGUAACGGAGGCGCCCAAAGGUACCCUCAGAUUGGAUGGAAACCAAUCGGCGAGUGCAAAUGCAGAAGGGUGCUUGACUGUGAGACAGACAAGUCGAACAGGGACGAAAGUCGGGAUUAGUGAUCCGGCGGUGCCGAAUGGAAGGGCCGUCGCUCAACGGAUAAAAGCUACCCUGGGGAUAACAGGCUGAUCUCGCCCAAGAGUUCACAUCGACGGCGAGGUUUGGCACCUCGAUGUCGGCUCAUCGCAUCCUGGAGCUGAAUUCAGUUCCAAGGGUUGGGCUGUCCGCCCAUUAAAGCGGUACGCGAGCUGGGUUCAGAACGUCGUGAGACAGUUCGGUCCCUAUCUGUUGUGGGCGAAGGAAAUUUGAGGAGAGCUGUCCUUAGUACGAGAGGACCGGGAUGGACUCACCGCUGGUGCACCAGUUGUCCUGCCAAGGGCAUAGCUGGGUAGCUAAGUGAGGAAGGGAUAAGCGCUGAAAGCAUCUAAGCGCGAAGCCUACUCCAAGAUGAGAUUUCCCAUUCGAAAGAAGUAAGACCCCUUGAAGACUACGAGGUAGAUAGGUCAGAGAUGGAAGCAUAGCGAUAUGUGGAGUUGACUGAUACUAAUCGGUCGAGGACUUGAUCAC
rnacentral:rRNA from 1 species